rnacentral:rRNA from 1 species
GCGCACCUCGACUGCGACCCCAGGUCAGGCGGGAUCACCCGCUGAGUUUAAGCAUAUCAAUAAGCGGAGGAAAAGAA